GGCGGGAGAGGCGGGCGGCUCCUAUAUCUGGCUCCGCGGGCUGCGGGCUGCGGGCUGCAGGCUCGGCGGCCGCGGCGCUCUGGACGGCUCCGGGUCCGGGCACUCGCCAUGGAUCCGGAAUAGGACGGCAGCGCACCCACCGGUCCUCGGUCUCCUCCGGGGCCCGGAAGAAUCCGGCGGCUUCCACGGAGAUGUUUGCUGGGACUAAUACAGCUGAUGAAAUACCUGCCCUUUUCUGCUGAAGAGGCUGGUUUAAUUGAUUCACUUUCCACAUAAGUGUGGGAAGUAGAAAAGUCAGUUUCUCAUACUAAAAAGUAAUAG